UAGGGAAUCUUCCGCAAUGGACGCAAGUCUGACGGAGCAACGCCGCGUGAGUGAAGAAGGAUUCCGGUUCGUAAAACUCGGUUGUUGGAGAAGAACAGCCAUUAGGGUAACUGUUAUGCGUUUGCCGGUAUCAAACCAGAAAGCAACGGCUAACUACGUGCAAGCAGCCGCGGUAAUACGUAGGUGGCAAGCGUUGUCCGGAUUUAUUGGGCGUAAAGCGAGCGCAGGCGGUUAGAUAAGUCUGAAGUUAAAGGCAGUGGCUCAACCAUUGUAGGCUUUGGAAACUGUUUAACUUGAGUGCAGAAGGGGAGAGUGGAAUUCCAUGUGUAGCGGUGAAAUGCGUAGAUAUAUGGAGGAACACCGGUGGCGAAAGCGGCUCUCUGGUCUGUAACUGACGCUGAGGCUCGAAAGCGUGGGGAGCGAACAGG
rnacentral:rRNA from 1 species